rnacentral:rRNA from 1 species
GACGAACGCUGGCGGCGUGCUUAACACAUGCAAGUCGAACGGUAAGGCCCUUCGGGGUACACGAGUGGCGAACGGGUGAGUAACACGUGGGUGAUCUGCCCUGCACUUCGGGAUAAGCCUGGGAAACUGGGUCUAAUACCGGGUAGGACCACUGCCUGCAUGGGUGGUGGUGGAAAGCUUUUGCGGUGUGGGAUGGGCCCGGGGCCUAUCAGCUUGUUGGUGGGGUGAUCGCCUACCAAGGCGACGACGGGUAGCCGGCCUGAGAGGGUGACCGGCCACACUGGGACUGAGAUACGGCCCAGACUCCUACGGGAGGCAGCAGUGGGGAAUAUUGCACAAUGGGCGCAAGCCUGAUGCAGCGACGCCGCGUGAGGGAUGACGGCCUUCGGGUUGUAAACCUCUUUCAGCACUGACGAAGCGCAAGUGACGGUAGGUGCAGAAGAAGGACCGGCCAACUACGUGCCAGCCGCCGCCGUAA